AACGAACGCUGGCGGCAUGCCUAACACAUGCAAGUCGAACGAGACCUUCGGGUCUACCGGCGCACGGGUGCGUAACGCGUGGGAACCUGCCCUUAGGUUCGGAAUAACUCCCCGAAAGGGGUGCUAAUACCGGAUCAUAUCCUCGGACCAAAGAUUUAUCGCCUUUGGAUGGGCCUGCGUUGGAUUAGCUUGUUGUUAGGGUAAAAGCCUACCACGGGUCCGAUCCAUAGCUGGGUUGAGAGGCAGGUCAGCGACACUGGGACUGAGACACGGCCCAGAAUCUUACGGGAGGGAGGAGUGGGGAAUAUUGGAAAAUGGGCGAAAGCCUGAUCCAGCAAUGCCGCGUAAGUGAUGAAGGCCUUAGGGUUGUAAAGUUCUUUUACCCGGGAUGAUAAUGACGGUACCGAGAGAAUAAGCACCGGCUAACUCCGUG
rnacentral:rRNA from 1 species